GACGAACGCUGGCGGCGUGCUUAACACAUGCAAGUCGAACGGAAAGGCCCUGCUUGCAGGGUGCUCGAGUGGCGAACGGGUGAGUAACACGUGGGUGAUCUGCCCCUUACUUUGGGAUAAGCCUGGGAAACUGGGUCUAAUACUGGAUAGGACCAUGCUGUAGGUGGUGUGGUGGAAAGAUUAGUUUCGGUAAGGGAUGAGCUCGCGGCCUAUCAGCUUGUUGGUGGGGUAAUGGCCUACCAAGGCGUCGACGGGUAGCCGGCCUGAGAGGGUGGACGGCCACAUUGGGACUGAGAUACGGCCCAGACUCCUACGGGAGGCAGCAGUGGGGAAUAUUGCACAAUGGGCGCAAGCCUGAUGCAGCGACGCCGCGUGGGGGAUGACGGCCUUCGGGUUGUAAACUCCUUUCAGCCAUGACGAAGCCCAUGUGGUGACGGUAGUGGUAGAAGAAGCACCGGCUAACUACGUG
rnacentral:rRNA from 1 species